GAUGAACGCUGGCGGCGUGCCUAAUACAUGCAAGUCGAGCGAACAGAUGAGGAGCUUGCUCCUCUGACGUUAGCGGCGGACGGGUGAGUAACACGUGGAUAACCUACCUAUAAGACUGGGAUAACUUCGGGAAACCGGAGCUAAUACCGGAUAAUAUAUUGAACCGCAUGGUUCAAUAGUGGAAGACGGUUUUGCUGUCACUUAUAGAUGGAUCCGCGCCGCAUUAGCUAGUUGGUAAGGUAACGGCUUACCAAGGCAACGAUGCGUAGCCGACCUGAGAGGCUGAUCGGCCACACUGGAACUGAGACACGGUCCAGACUCCUACGGGAGGCAGCAGUAGGGAAUCUUACGCAAUGGGCGAAAGCCUGACGGAGCAACGCCGCGUGAGUGAUGAAGGUCUUCGGAUCGUAAAACUCUGUUAUUAGGGAAGAACAAAUGUGUAAGUAACUAUGCACGUCUUGACGGUACCUAAUCAGAAAGCCACGGCUAACUACGUG
rnacentral:rRNA from 1 species